AGUCUCCUGUUUCCCGGCGCGGGCGCCGCGCGGCAUGCGGGCGGGCGGCGUACUACAGACCGCGCCCUCUCGCCCCGCCCCGCCCCGCCGCGGGACCCCGCUCCCGGAGCACCUGCCCCGCACGCCCCCGCUCCACGCGGGCGCGGAUGCUGGCGCCGCACCUGCCUCUCACCUGCACACGCGCGCCCCCGGAAGGCACGUGCGCCUUGACCUCCAGGUGGCUUGUGUCCUGCACACAGGCUGCCCUCGGAGGUCACUUCCGGCGCCCCCUGCCCGUCCCCGCUCUCUGCCGCAGCCCUCCCAGCUCCCGGGCUGGAUCCCGGGCAGACACGCGGCUUGAGUUGUCCUGAGGCACCCCUAACCCCAGAGCAAGCAUUUAGGGGUCUGAGGGGCUCUGAGAAGCCCGACCUGGCACCUGGGGUCCCUGGACUGAGGAGGCACCUGGCUCCAGGCUGGGCGAUCUGGACAGCUCUGUACGGGAUGGGCUUCAGCAGAUUUGGCACAGCAGAACGAGGGGUCCCGGGUCACUGGAGUCGGCCAGGUAUGGCCGCAGCAGAGUCAGCCCGAGCUGCCUCGUAAUUCCAGUGGGUCCAAGGACCAUGCAGAGUGUCCCCGGUACUCGGAGCACUGGCAGCUCAGGGCAAAGUGCACCAAGACCAAAUGACAGGGUGAUCUGGUGCUGGAAAGGAACACGGAGGCGAUGCCGGCACAGAGCAGGCAGCAUUGCGAGUCUCUCAGUGGGUGCACCCCUGCAGUGAGCAUGUGGCCAACACUGACCUGCAGGUCUGUGGUGCAGGGGGUGGGGAUGAUCCUGGAGUCAAGACUGAAACCCAUUGCUCCGGGACUGAAAUUUUGAGUGACUAGGGGUGUCAAGCGAAUUAGACCCCUAGUUGCAAAGCAAUGGCUUCUGAAUGCCCUCGUGCUCAAGUGUGCCUGGGCACAGCAACAUGUGGAAGCCCUGCCCUGGGGGUGUUAUGGACCUCCUUUACCCCUUAGUUUCUCCCCGCCCAUGUUGCCCGUCACAUCCCUGUGCCUGUCCAGAGUAGAAACGGAUUCCAGCACUCCUUCCUCUCCUCACCACCGCCCUGCAGCCACAGCACCUUUGCACUGCCUCCUGGCCCCUGAGGCCCACUGCUCCUGAUGCAGUGCUUCCUUUCUGCUCUGCUGUCAGUGCCAGGGGCCCUGCCCCUAGUGGGUGCCGAGGGAUGGCUCCUGGGCUACCUGCACUGCCCAAGGGGACUCCGCUUGCCCCCUCACUUUGAUUCACAUGCAGAACUGGGCCUGAGGCCAGCUGCAGUGAAGGCCCAGGAAAUUCACCCAACCUGGCCUGAAAGAUGGUCUCUGUCCUGGUGCCAACACCCUGCCUGGCCCAGCUCAGCUGUCACCUCCUGAGGAGAUUGACCCUCUCAUGACUCCCCUGAGGAGAACUAGUGCCUCGGCUCCUUCAGUCCUGCUGUGGUCAGGUGAGUAGGUUUUGGGGUGUAGGGCUGUGUGGGACUCUGGAGAAGGUAUAGUGAGAGUCGGCAGCCCCUUGACUCCAGUGACUCGCACUGAAACCGAGUUCACAGGUGAAGCCGGAGUCCCUGGGAGAGGCCCCCACCUUUCUCCAGCCCACAGGUUCACUCCUGGCAGGAAGAGCGGGUGUUGGAGCGCAGUAACCGAAGCUGCUCAGCCCUUGCCUGACUUCUCGGAAGACGAGUCCCUGACAGGUUUAAGAAAGCAUCAUUCAUCCGCUGUUGGGUCCUGAGUCAUGAGCAGCUAUAGCUGUGACGGUCUCAUUAGGAUGUGGGGAACUUGCUUUGUUUUUGAUAAACAGAAGAACUUGCAAGAUUUUAAUUGACACAUAGGAAUGAACUUUGUUGGAUGGGUGGGCCCAUCUCCAUGAAAU